rnacentral:rRNA from 1 species
CCUACGGGGGGCUGCAGUGGGGAAUAUUGGACAAUGGGGGGAACCCUGAUCCAGCCAUGCCGCGUGUGUGAAGAAGGCCCUCGGGUUGUAAAGCUCUUUCAGUGAGGAAGAACGCCUGGUGGUUAAUACCCAUCAGGAAAGACAUCACUCACAGAAGAAGCACCGGCUAACUCCGUGCCAGCAGCCGCGGUAAUACGGAGGGUGCGAGCGUUAAUCGGAAUUACUGGGCGUAAAGCGCGCGUAGGUGGCUUGAUAAGCCGGUUGUGAAAGCCCCGGGCUCAACCUGGGAACGGCAUCCGGAACUGUCAAGCUAGAGUGCAGGAGAGGAAGGUAGAAUUCCCGGUGUAGCGGUGAAAUGCGUAGAGAUCGGGAGGAAUACCAGUGGCGAAGGCGGCCUUCUGGACUGACACUGACACUGAGGUGCGAAAGCGUGGGUAGCAAACAGGAUUAGAUACCCUUGUAGUC